CGAAUUGUAAAUCUCACUUACUUAAAUAAUGUUGAUUACCACCCUGCGUAUUGUGGAUUUGUACACGUCUCUUCUUUUGGUUGGCCAGUUUUAUAGUGUUGGAAAAUGUUUUACACAAUAUUGUUGUAAGCAAGCGCUGAAAUUGUUAAUUGUUGUUUAAAAAUUCUACAAUGAGGAUAUAGCAACGCGGAAGCGGAUGUUGUUUGCAAAUAUACAUUUAAAAAACCCAAUAAAUUCGCGUGGAAGAAACAUUUCAAAAUAUAAUAGCUUAUACCCACCUGCAUAUUCGAUAACCUAUUAUUGUAUCCGGUCGUUGAACUAAAUGCGGAGUGAAAUUGCUUCUUGUUUGCACAGCUUUGCUUAAAUACAAUAUGGAUGCAUGAGACGGUGCUAGCUGAACGACAUGAACAAACAUUUAUAACUUAUUUUGAAUCGCGUAUCGUCGUCAUAUCCUUAAGGUGGCUAUCAUAAAUAUGCCCAUACAUAUACCAAAUACCGAAUCACCAUAAUUCACGAGAUAGAGAGACUUCCCAUUUAGGGAAGG